AUAGUUUGAUUAUGGCUCAGGAUGAACGCUGCGCGGCGUGCCUAAUACAUGCAAGUCGAACGCUUUGUGGUUCAACUGAUUUGAAGAGCUUGCUCAGAUAUGACGAUGGACAUUGCAAAGAGUGGCGAACGGGUGAGUAACACGUGGGAAACCUACCUCUUAGCAGGGGAUAACAUUUGGAAACAGAUGCUAAUACCGUAUAACAAUGACAACCGCAUGGUUGUUAUUUAAAAGAUGGUUCUGCUAUCACUAAGAGAUGGUCCCGCGGUGCAUUAGCUAGUUGGUAAGGUAAUGGCUUACCAAGGCGAUGAUGCAUAGCCGAGUUGAGAGACUGAUCGGCCACAAUGGGACUGAGACACGGCCCAUACUCCUACGGGAGGCAGCAGUAGGGAAUCUUCCACAAUGGGCGAAAGCCUGAUGGAGCAACGCCGCGUGUGUGAUGAAGGGUUUCGGCUCGUAAAACACUGUUGUAAGAGAAGAAUGACAUUGAGAGUAACUGUUCAAUGUGUGACGGUAUCUUACCAGAAAGGAACGGAUAAAAUACGUGCCAGCAGACGCGGUAAUACGUAUGUUCCAAGCGUUAUCCGGAUUUAUUGGGCCGUAAAGCGAGCGCAGACGGUUAUUUAAGUCUGAAGUGAAAGCCCUCAGCUCAACUGAGGAAUUGCUUUUGGAAACUGGAUGACUUGAGUGCAGUAGAGGAAAGUGGAACUCCAUGUGUAGCGGUGAAAUGCGUAGAUAUAUGGAAGAACACCAGUGGCGAAGGCGGCUUUCUGGACUGUAACUGACGUUGAGGCUCGAAAGUGUGGGUAGCAAACAGGAUUAGAUACCCUGGUAGUCCACACCGUAAACGAUGAGUGCUAGGUGUUUGAGGGUUUCCGCCCUUAAGUGCCGCAGCUAACGCAUUAAGCACUCCGCCUGGUGAGUACGACCGCAAGGUUGAAACUCAAAUGAAGUUGACGGAAGGCGAAUUCGC
rnacentral:rRNA from 1 species